rnacentral:rRNA from 1 species
AUGGGGAGGGCGAACUGCUCGGUUCCUCUCCUGGUGUUGCUGGCCUUCCUCUCCUGCUUCUUCCUCGCACACGCGGCGGUGGCCGGGGCCGGCGGCAACCGCAAGAUGUUCCUGCCGAGGGAGGGAGCGGCAGCCGCCGCCGUGUCCGACGAUGGUGGGCAGGCGAUGCCGACGACGGCGGAGGAGGUGGCGGUCGGAGGAGAGAUGCAUCUGCUGCUGAGCGACGACGAGGAGAUGUUGGCCAGGAGGGUGGACCUGCAGACAGAGGACUACCCGGGGUCCGGGGCCAACGGCCGCCAUGAUCCACGAAACCCGCAUUAA